rnacentral:tRNA from 1 species
AGGUAGAAUGGCCGAAUGUUAGGUGGCCGGCUGUAGUCCUGCUUACAUAGGUUAAAGUCCUGUUUCUUCC